UCUCACUUAUAUGUGGAAUCUAAAGAAAUGGAACUCAUAGGUACAGAGAAUAGAUUGGUGGUUGUUGGGCCGAGGGGGUGGGUAUGGGGGAUGGGGUUGGGAGAGAUAGGUGAAGGUUGUCAGAAUAUAAGCUUCCAGUUAGAAGAUUAAUAAGUUCUGAAGAUGUAAUGUCCAGCAUGGUGACUGUAGUUAACAAUACUAUAUUGUAUACGUGAAAGUUGCUGAGAGAGUAGAUCUUAAAAGUUCUUGUCACACACAAAUGGGCAGCUAUGUGAGAUAACGCUUGUGUUAACUAACCUUAUUGUGGUAAUUCCUUCAUAAUAUAUAUGUACAUCAAACCAUCACAGCUAACAGUGGUGUAUGUCAAUUAUACCAUAAGAAAGCUGGGGGUGGGGGGAGGAAAUACAGAUUCUCAGGCCCCACCACACACCUCCUGAAUCAGGAACUCGAGUAAGUCCUAGCCAUCCGUGUUUUCAGGGGAUUCUGCGCAGGUCAACCACGGCUUUCUACCCAUUCUAGGGAUCUCCGUGGUUACUAAGACAGGGGAUUGGGGAUUGGCAGCCAAAGUGGAGGAAGCUGGGUUGGGAGGAGUGAACUUCACCCCACAGUGCCUUUCACGGAGACUCCACCAGGAGCAAAAUCCCUGUGGGAGAAGGCGAGUCACUCCUCUGUCCCCUACGUGCUGCUGUCCUGACAGAUUUUCACCUCUGAACCCUUUUGCUAAAAUUAGAGCCCUCAGAGGAGGAAAUCAAGAGCUAUCCCAUCUUGCCGUGGAUAAAAUCAUCCUGCUGCUUUGACGGAUAAAGUGAGAUCCACAUUCCAUGAGAACUGGCAGGCUUCUGGGUGUUCUCCGUUGUCAAGGCAGCGCCUGUGGAAGACUCGGCAGGGGGGGCAGAGCAGCUUGCCACCCCAAGGAUAUACGCUGUGGCACUCUUGACAGGCAGAAAGACAGAUAUUUUUCAAAGAUGCAAGCGUCGCAGGCAAUCCUGGGGGAACAAGCACCUCAAAAGGAUGUGGCAGGGGCCGACCUGAUUGGCUGAGGGGGCGAGAAUUCUUCAUAUUUUAAAGAGCAGACUGAAGUUGGCUUUCCGAGGGACCAAGUCUGAACGGAACUCAAAAGUUUUAAAUUGUGACUAUGAAGUACUUGGUUUUAAAAGGAAGAUUUAGGGUGAGCGAAUCACAGUGCCACCGAAGUGGUGUGGAGAGGAAUUCAGAUGGAGAAAACAGAAGGAAAAAUUAAGAUGAGUCUUAGUUAAAUGGGCCACACUGUGGACCACGUGACAGGCUCCUUCUUCAGAAUUCUUCUCUGGAGCACCUGAGCCUGCAGAUGUAUCCACGUGCUGUCCUUGGAACGCAGCUCCGCGGCCCUGACUCUUUCAGCUGCCUUCGUUACCAGUGCUGGUCAGGGCUGCUUGCCCUGUGGAUGGACUGUGCGGCUGUUGGCACCAACCAAUGAAACGGGCCAGGGUGCCGGUACUGCACGUGUUAUAAGGAAGGUGUUUCACGUGGAGGUGUGAUGGGGCUUCCCCUCCCUCCCUGACCAGCAAAGGACUUGAUGCUCUUGGAACUGAAAUUAAAAUGGACAUCCUAAUUUAAAAGUUUUCAGCUUGUGACUUUUAUCUUUAUAAACAGAGGUAUACACUCAGCUUUUGCAAGUGUUUAAUUUAGGAACAUAGCCCCCCCCCCCACCAUGGCAUGAAGUUAGUCAUGGGGAAGAACAUACUCUCAAUGAUGAAGAAGCGCAAACGGAGACAAAGAGCUGUUCUUCUCCAAUGUAACAUUGACACAGGAUAUGGGACAAUACUUUAGGGUAGAAAGAUACCUGCCAAUGCUAGAGUACGGUACUUUUCUUAUAUUGGAUUUCAUAGUUCUCCC
ensembl:lincRNA